AAAUAUUUCUUUUUUUUUUACAAAUUAUCCAUCACUGAUGAAGAGCACCUACAUUGCAAUUGUGGAAAAAUAGUAAACAUGGUAAAAUGUAUCGUUCGCACGCUGUCAAUUGGGGGUAAUUUUGUAUGCAUUGCUUUCAUUAGGAGAAAUUGUGAGUUUGUAGAGUAGAAGUAGAAAGUGAGAAAUUGGGUAUGAGUUAGUAAUUUCCCCGCUAAGGAGUUACCUAGUGCCCUGCAAGAAAGCUGAUUAACAAAUGGGUCCAGGGAAGCCGAACACCCAAAAACAGUCGGUAACGCGCCUUUAUUCCAACCUCACCGGUGGUGUGAAAAUGCAAUAAUGCAAUAUUAAAAUGCUAUAAAUUAACUACAGUUUAAGGCUCUAGGUAAAACAAGUAAUACUUAAAAUACCAAGUAAUACUUAAAAUACCAACUUUUUCUAAAU